rnacentral:misc_RNA from 1 species
ACCGCAAGGUCGAGCACACGCGCAAGCUUUCUCUGUCUUGCUUCUUUACUAGUCAUCAUGUCUUCCAUUGCUGCCAAGCAGGUGCAUCGCCAGCAGCUGCUGCAGCCACGCCUGGCGCUCCCGGCAGGUCGUACCGUCUCUCUUGAAGAGGGGCGGCGUCUUGCCAAAUUCGCGCACGAUGAAGAGGAUCGGUUGCAAUCCGAAGCGACGCGCCUGCUGGAGGUGAAGGAGGCGAGCCCUGUCGUGCUGGAGGAGAACGUCUCGAGGCGCAUUUUGCUUCUUCGCCAGAAGCAGAACAGCAAGGCGAACGUGAAGGCGGCAGUCGCGUACGCAAACAGACUGCAUCGCAAGUCUGCCGUCCAGGCUGAGGAUGUGACCAAGAUGCGCGAGGCAGCUUCGCGAGUGCUGCGACCUUCCUCCAGCAUUGGCAGUGCCAGCCUGAAGCAGCGGCGCCAACGCGCAGAGCAGACGAAGAAGCAGCGGCAGCCGAAACAGGGAAAGAAGAGGCAUUGAUGCGGUCAUGUGUCUUUUCCUCCGCGCGAUGUGUGCUGUCCUUCCACUUUCGAGUGCUGACGUUGCUGUGCGGUGCGACGCGAAGUGUAAUCAGCGGCGGUCCGGCGAUGAGGGGCUGUGCUUCACCAAAGUCGAGGGUGUGCAUGUGCCUGUCAGCGAAAUGCCCGGCCACGUUCGGUCACGCGCAUCUGCGCCGUGUGCAUCGGGCGUAAAAAGGGCGGCUCAAACGAAACUGAUACGCAGGCACAGCGCGGCCACCGGAUCUCUCUCUCUCUCUGUCGACGCCGCUUGCUCUGCCACCUGCACGAACGCCACCACUAACUUCCUUUCCAGUUCACCUUCACGGUGUAGUGGUCCUGCUUGCGUACUUGCACUGGUGUCAGUCUGAUGUUUCCGUCGCCGUCACGUGCACACCUGCGGAUGAGUGUGGUGUCUCUCUCCUUUUUUCUCUCUUCGUGUAAAGCCACCUCGGCUAACGGUGUGUGCUCUUUAUCGCUGCCACUCCUCGUGGAGAUGCUGUGUGUGUCUGUCUCUCGGUGUGUGUGUAAAGCGAACCGCACCCUGAUCUGGCAUGAAGGCCUCGUGCUAACGAGGGAAAGCGC